rnacentral:lncRNA from 1 species
CAGGGCAGCCUACAUGGGCUUCAUGCCUCAGUCCCCCACUCAAGAUGUUAAAUGCUAAAAGGGAACUGAUGUAGACUUCUAAAACAGACUGCCCCAAAAACUGCCCUGAGAAAUGGGAGUGGCCACUUCAUUAGGAAAGGACUUUAAAAUGCAAACGGCCUGGAAAAAUAUUUGCUAUGUCUUUGCCCAGUGCCAGGCCCAGUAAUUACUUGAUAAGGUGGGUCAAAUUGGAGCUUUAGCUGCUGGCCUACACCACAGCCACAGCAACGCAGGAUCCAAGCCACAUCUUCGACCUACAUCACAGCUCACGGCAUCGCCAGAUCCUUAACCAAAUGAGUGAGGCCAGGGAUUGAACUCAAAACCUCAUGGUUACUAGUCGGAUUUGUUUCUGCUGCACCACAACAGGAACUCCCAGGAAUGCAUUAUAAUUUUAUUUUCUAUUUUUUGCUCUUUAGGGCUGUACCUGUGGCAUAUGGGGGUUUCCAGGCUAGGGGUCCAAUCCGAGCUACAGCUGCCAGCCAAGAUCCAAGCUAUAUGCCAGAUCCAAGCUGCGUCUGCAACCUACACCACAGCUCAUGGCAACACCAGAUCCUUCACCCACUGAGCAAGUCCAGGGAUCAAACCUGCAACCUCAUGGUUCCUAGUCAGAUUCAUUUCUGCUGCACCACUGCAGGAACUCCAGAAAUUCACUAUUUUUAUAUCCCACUUUGAGUAAUAAAUAGAAGCUGUGUUUGAUAGGCACAUUAUUAGACCUUGUAGGUCCAUAACAAUUCCACCCCACCCCACGCCCGCAAUAAUUCAAGGUAUCUCUUCCUACUAAUGCAUCCUCCUGGAACAUUAUGAAGAAGAAAAGGCCACAGAACCACAAAGCUAAAGCAAACCUGACAUCAUCUAGUCCCAGGGUUAUUUUUGUCUUCAGCUGUGAAAUCUUUCCUCUCGCCAAACAAAAACUUACACAGGGGGGCUGAUAAACACACACAAGUUGCUGUUCUGGUUUGAGCAGAAGAGACACAGAGUUGCUCCAAUUUGUCUUCCUCCAACUCCUCCAAGAAAGCAAAGGGCAUUUCCAAAUCCCAGUUCCAGCCUCAUCUCAGAUUAUUCUAGAAGCAAGGAAACUGGGGCGCAGAAAAAGGACUUGCCUUGGCCAGGCUCACCCACCUCCCACAGCACCACGCGUUUCUAUUUGAGCUCAACCCCUGUCCCCUCCCUGGCUUCGCAUUCCUCCAGGGCCCUUAUGAGAUGCUGUGUAUUUAUGCUAAGUGUUUAUGUUUUUAAAUACCCUACUUUAUUCUGAGACCCUGGAAGGAAUGAACUAGUCUUACUCAUUCGUGUUCCACCCCCCACCCCAAACCCCUUGGCACCCAGCACCCUGCUUUAUACCAAGCAGGUCCUCUGGCCACAAUGACUGAUGUGGACUGAAAUUGCCCCACCUGAAUGAUGGCCCACAUUAGGUUAAGCACUAGCUACUAGGAAUAUAAGAAAUUUGAUUUUGGUGUGUUGAAGUUUAGAUAUCCAAGUUAAUAUAUAAUGGAAUCUUUUAUUUUCAAAAUCAAAGUGGACCUAAGAAUAACCCAUAGUGGCUCAUCAGAGUGUUAAAUAUCAAAGAACAGGGCUUCCCAAACGUUAGCAGGUAUCAGAAUCACCUGAAGCGUUUGUUAAUUAACCUCUCCUGCAGCUGGGCUGCCAAAGAGACCAGGAAAGUGCUAGGAUACAGUAAAAAGAAUUGGGAUUUGUCACAAUUCCUGCUAAAUAUUUCACAGAGUUGCCAUCAUUCAGCUCAUUAGGAAACUGUCUUAGAUUGCCAUGCUGUAGCGUUGAAAUUUUAUGUCACUUCCUUGCCAGGUGAUUCAGCCAGCUAUCACACCCCACUAUAAGCAAUCCUCUAGUCACUGGACGUCUUGAAAUGUAAGGUACAUUUCUCCCGAUAACCAUACAAAAUGAAGGAAAAUUCAGAAAUAAUGCCAUUUGCAGCAACACGGAUAGACCUAGAGAUUAUCAUCCUUGGCAAAGUCGGUCAGAAAGAGAAAGACAAAACCAUAUGAUAUCACUUAGAUGUGGAAUUUAAAAUACCACAUAAAAGAGCUUAUCAACAAAACAGACUCAUGCAUGGAGCAAAUAGACUUAUAGUUGCCAAGGGGGUAGGUAGGGGAGGGAUGGACUGGGAGUUUGGGGUUAGCAGAUGCAAACUAUUAUAUAUAGGAUGGAUAAACAGGGUCCUAUCGUACAGCGCGGGGCAAUAUAUUCAAUAUCCUGAGAUUAACAGUAAUGGAAUAGAAUACAAAAAAGAAUGAAUAUAUAUAAAAAUGAAUCACUUCACUGUACAGAAGAAAUGAACCACCAUUGUAAAUCAAAUGCACUUCAGUGAGUUUUCUUUAAAAGUAAAAAUAAAAUGAAGGAAAAUUCAGUCAUAUUAUGAGGGGAGAAAAAAACCCUCCCUUUUCAUAAGGAUCUAAUCUUGACCUUCUUUGCGUGAUUACUACCGUCAUCCCCUUCCACCACCAACAGAGAAAUUUGUUUUCCCUUAAUUUGUAUGAGAAUUUAUGCAAAAUCAAUUCAGUUCAACAAACAGCAUGGCCAAGCCAACCACUGUGCUGAGAAAAAUCAAGUAUGUCUAAGAUCCAGCCUUCAUUCCAGGGGCCUGCACAGUUUGUGUAAAGCAAGGGAUGUGGCCCAAAUGUGACUCAAAGUAGGUGCUUGAUAAACUUUGUCCUCCGAGAGAAAACCGGUCUACCUGGUGGGCGUUUACCAUCCAGAACUUUCUCAUAGGAGUUACGUAUUUGCUCUAUUUGUACUCACCUAAUUAAGCUUUCUCUACUCACAGUUGGAGCAAUUAAAACUCUGGAGGGUUUCAGUGUCUUAUCCUCAAGCAAUCCGUGGGCCGAAACCAAGAUUAGAACUGCGACUCCUCCUCAUUCCCAGCAAGGAACCAUCCUUACAGAAAUUCUCCCACCCCCUCCCAGCCUUUUGUUAGCCUUCCUGGUUUUUAGGUGCUAUCAAUGACGUCAAGAAAGAUUCCUAUUCUCAUUUUCUUCAAUAUUUUCAUGUAUUUAGAAAAGGAGGUAUCCCUUCUCCAUCCUUUAUUUCUACCCAGGAGAGGAGGUGAGUCACUCCAUUGAGGCUUGUAAUGGAUCUUGCUCCACCACGGACGUUCCCCAGAUGCUGCAAAGGCAGCAGGCAUGAGCAGAUGGCAGUGAUUCCCAACCACCAAAUUGGCCUUUAUUCCAAGCAGUCAUUUAUGGAGUUUUCAUUGCUCUACAAAAACCUUAGUCCACCUGAGGUCACUUACCCAAAGGUUGUGUUUUAUUCUAAGUUGUUACCAAAUUUGAAUUGGCCGAUAGGAAACAAAAGGUAUGAAUGGAUGACAUUUUUGGUCUGGAACUACUUGACUUUUUUUUUUUUUUUUUUUAAAGCCAAGCCCAACUCUGCAUGCCUUGUCUUAAAUCACAAAAUUUCUCUCAACUUACUCUCAUUCUGCUGUGGAUCAUACCAACAUAGAAACUGUCGACAAAUGAACUGUUACACUUAGAAUGGAUAAGCAGGAGUUCCCAUAAUGGCUCAGAGGAAAUAAAUCUGGCUGGUAUCUAUAAGGACGCAAGUUCGAUCCCUGGCCUCACUCAAUGGCCUAAGGAUCCAGCAUUCCUGUGGCUGUGGCUUAGGCUAGUGGCUACAGCUCCGAUUCGACCCCUAGCCUGGGAAUCUUCAUAAGCCGUGGGUGAGGCCCUAAAAAAGACAAAAAAAAAAAAAAAAACAAAUAUAGAAUGGAUAAGCAGUGAGGUCCUACUGUACAGAAUAGAGAAUUACAUCCACUCUCUUUGGAUAGAACACGAUGGAAGAUACUAUUAUGAGAAGAACAAUGUGUGUAUGUGUGUAUAUAUAUAUGUAUAUGACUGGGUCACUAUGCUAUUCAGCAGAAAUUGACACAAUACUGUAAAUCAACUAAACUCUAAUAAAAAUAAAAUUUAUUAAAAAAAGAAAUUGACAACAGAUGUAAUACAAUUUCACUUCUUUGAAAAUGAAGGUACUGGAGUUCCCGUCAUGGCUCAGUGGUCAAAGAACGCAACUAGCAUCGGUGAGGACACGGGUUCGAUCCCUGGCCUCACUUAGUGGGUUAAGGACCCAGCGUUGCUGUGGCUCUGGUGUAGGCUGGCAGGUACAACUCCAGUUGAACCCCUACCCUGGGAACCUCCAUAUGCCAUGGGUGUGGCCCU